rnacentral:tRNA from 1 species
UGUUCUGUGGCUUAGUUGGUUGAAGCGCCACGGCGCGCCGGUCUAGCAAAUACAGAGUCGUGGGUUCGAAUCCCAUCAUAACGC